UGGGGAAUAUUGGACAAUGGGGGCAACCCUGAUCCAGCAAUGCCGCGUGUGUGAAGAAGGUCUUCGGAUUGUAAAGCACUUUCGACGGGGACGAUGAUGACGGUACCCGUAGAAGAAGCCCCGGCUAACUUCGUGCCAGCAGCCGCGGUAAUACGAAGGGGGCUAGCGUUGCUCGGAAUGACUGGGCGUAAAGGGCGUGUAGGCGGUUUACACAGUCAGAUGUGAAAUCCCCGGGCUUAACCUGGGAGCUGCAUUUGAUACGUGUAGACUAGAGUGUGAGAGAGGGUUGUGGAAUUCCCAGUGUAGAGGUGAAAUUCGUAGAUAUUGGGAAGAACACCGGUGGCGAAGGCGGCAACCUGGCUCAUGACUGACGCUGAGGCGCGAAAGCGUGGGGAGCAAACAGGAUUAGAUACCCUGGUAGUCCACGCCUGUAAACGAUGUGUGCUAGAUGUUGGGUAACUU
rnacentral:rRNA from 1 species